UACGUAGAGUGCAAGCGUUGCCGGAAUUAUUGGGCGUAAAGGGUACGCAGGCGGGAUAGUAAAGUCAAGCGUGAAAGGUGUCGGCUUAACCGACAGACUGCGUUUGAAACUGAUUAUCUUGAGUGUAACAGAGGAGAGUUGGAAUUCCUAGUGUAGUGGUGAAAUACGUAGAGUAUUAGGAAGAACACCUAGUAGGCGAAGGCGACUCUCUGGGUUAACACUGACGCUGAGGUACGAAAGCUGGGGGAGCAAACGGGAUUAGAUACCCGCGUAGU
rnacentral:rRNA from 1 species